GAUGAACGCUGGCGGCGUGCCUAAUACAUGCAAGUCGAGCGAACAGACGAGGAGCUUGCUCCUCUGACGUUAGCGGCGGACGGGUGAGUAACACGUGUAUAACCUACCUAUAAGACUGGGAUAACUUCGGGAAACCGGAGCUAAUACCGGAUAAUAUAUUGAACCGCAUGGUUCAAUAGUGAAAGACGGUUUUGCUGUCACUUAUAGAUGGAUCCGCGCCGCAUUAGCUAGUUGGUAAGGUAACGGCUUACCAAGGCGACGAUGCGUAGCCGACCUGAGAGGGUGAUCGCCGACACUGGAAGUGAGACAGGGACCAGACUCCUACGGGAGGCAGCAGUAGGGAAUCUUACGCAAUGGGCGAAAGCCUGACGGAGCAACGCCGAGUGAGUGAUGACGGUCUUCGGAUCGUAAAACUCUGUUAUUAGGGAAGAACAAAUGUGUAAGUAAAUAUGCACGUAUUGACGGUACCUAAUCAGAAAGCCACGGCUAACUACGUG
rnacentral:rRNA from 1 species